rnacentral:tRNA from 1 species
GUUUAUAGAGCUUUUAUAGUAUAAUAUUGAAGAUAUUGUGUUUUUAUAAACA